rnacentral:lncRNA from 1 species
GAACUGUUUACAUUUUAUGCGAAUGCCAACAUCCUAUUGUUAUUGUUUGGUAUGUUGCCCAGUAUUUCUCCGCUUUUGUUUAUUUUUAAUUUUGUAUACGUAUACUUUGGGGAAAUCUUAAGAAAAUAAUAAUAUAAUUAGCUUACUACUUUUCAAAAUUUCGACAUUUAUAAUUUUAUUUAGUACUUAUUAAGAUUCAGUCAAGAUUACAAGAAAAAUAAACUUGAAAUAUUUGUAAAUUUCGUCAUUUUUCAUCAGCUGUUAGGAUUAAUUUUUAAUCUGACAACGCCGCUCUGUUGUUAUAGUAUUUUCUAUAGUAGGGGAAUUGGACGCGGUCAACAGUGUCAAUCUUAAUAAACUAUUAAUGUAUAAUUGUUUCAUUUUAUAUAAAAGACCAAAAUUAGCAUUUAAAAUGGGUCUACACUGGCAAAAUGUGUGAGAAUAAAAAGAAUUUAAACAUCGUCAUUUCAAAAGUAAGUACUGUUCUGUGGUAAUACAACAUCUCGUUUUAUUUACCUAAAAUAUUUACCAUAUUUGUUAAAAUUUGUUUAUUUGUUUUAUAAUAUAAUUUUGUGAAUAUAAUAUAUUAUGUAUAUUAUAAGAAGUAAUGUUUAUAUUUUUGUUACAAUAUUGUCCGAUUUAAAAUCGUAUAUUUGUAUUUAAUUAUGAAUACAAAUAAUUUGUAUGUUUACAUAAAUUAUAAUUGAUUUCUAAAAGAUAGUGAGAGAAAAAUUAAAUGGUUUUCUCUGUUAGGAUUUAUUCAUAGCAUAAUAUUAAAAAGUCAAGCAAAAGAGAACUCAAGAACAGCUGAUUUUUUUUAUAAGGAAUUGAAGAAAAUAUUUAAAAUCUGAUGAUUUUCACAGCCAUUUAUGUCGCGAUUUGUGGUCUUUCAGUUGUUUCAACAUCACCUAGGAAAUUAACAUUAAGAUAUCAGGAUCCUGCAUAUAACGAGAUAAGAACUAUGAUCUUGUUAGGAUACCUAUUCCGUCACAAUAUGAAGUGAAGAUAUUCAUGGUGUGGAAGUCGUUACUUUAAUUACAUAGUGCAUAUGAAAUUGGUCCUUUACAUCAUGUUUAAAAUUGACGUAAUGCUACUAUGCAAAAUAGUGAGAGAUGUGAACCCUAGGCAGAGCUACAGAAUUACUUUUGUUGAGAGACAAAUUAUGAUAGUGAUUAGAAUCGCAUAUUCUAGACUUUUACUUAAAAAAUGAUUUGUUCGGAAUGAACUUUUAUAGUGUGGAGGAAUACCUGCAAAUUAUAAUAUGAGGCCUACGUAUAUGAUAAUUUUAUUAUGAUCUGUUGUGUUUGUUUUUUUAUAUUUUGUAUUAUAUAUUUGUGUUAGCUUUAAGAAUUUAUUGACUAUUCCUAUACAAUUGUACAUUGUUUUAUGGAAAUAAAUAAAUGAUUGAUUGAUUGAAUAAGUUAGGAAACCAUACGAUCGAGAAAAAAACGGCUUCAAAGGCGACUGGGGAAUGAAAAUAUGAUAAUUUCAGUGAGGUCAAGCCCUAGAAGUCAUUUUCUUGGCUCGUACUAUUUUUUAAAGGCGCUCUAAGGUUGUAAUUUAUUUUUACAUUAAGUAAAUAUGAUUUUUAAAUGGUGUAGUUUAAGAUUGACCUCGCUAAAUUAUCAAUCGUCAUUCCUCAGCCGCCUUUGACGCCGUUUUUUUUAGACUAUUUGCUAUAACUAUGUUAUCUGUUAUGCAAAUACAUAUGUCAACAAGUAAAAAGCCAAUGAGAAAUUAGUUUCUGCUUGGAUCCUUACAGUGGCAUUUAACAAAAUAUAUAUUUUUUCAGGUUACAAUAUUUUAUUUAAUAUGAACCUGUAAAUGUAAGAAUAUUAUACAUAUAUUAUAUUUUUUACUCAGUCCCUAAAUAUAUUAUUAAAAUACAACACUUGUGUUUUUUAUUAAUAUCGUGUUAUGAUUAAUACCUAAUUAAUGUAAAAUUAUAUGGUAUGUAAAUAUCCUUACACUGAGAAUUCGUUUGGUCAAAAUAUUACUCUCUUACUAAUAUGAAUUUGAAAACUACAGAACAUUGUUUUUUUUUAGUUUUUGUGCUAAUAUUUCCACUUAAAAUUACCGAAUAUAUUUAUGGUAUAGGUAGGAAAAGAUGAAUUUUGUGCUUUUUAAUUAUACAUUAUAUUAAUUAUAUUAUUAUUGUAAAUAAUAUCUACUGAUAUUUAAUAUAAAAAAUAGUUAUUCACAUGCAUCUAUUUUUCUUUUGUAAUUAAUACUAUCUAAAUAACAAGACAUCUUAUAUAAUAGAUCCAUUAACAUUUUAGUUUAUCAAUUAUCAAUCACUAUACGAUAUACAAUACGUAUAAUAUCUUUUAAUUAUAUCUAACUUUUAAUUAUUGAAUAUUUAAUAAACAAAUUUUUUAUAGUGUUUGUUAAAUAUUUUAUA